rnacentral:rRNA from 1 species
AUUGAACGCUGGCGGCAGGCCUAACACAUGCAAGUCGAGCGGAUGAAGGGAGCUUGCUCCUGGAUUCAGCGGCGGACGGGUGUGUAAUGCCUAGGAAUCUGCCUGGUAGUGGGGGAUAACGUCCUGAAACGGGCGCUACUACCGCCUACGUCCUGCGGGAGAAAGUGGGGGAUCUUCGGACCUCACGCUAUCAGAUGGACCUAGGUCGGAUUGGCUAGUUGGUGGGGUAAAGGCCUACCAAGGCGACGAUCCGUAACUGGUCUGAGUGGAUGAUCAGCCACACUGGAGCUGAGACACGGUCCAGACUCCUACGGGAGGCAGCAGUGGGGAAUAUUGGACAGUGGGCGAAAGCCUGAUCCAGCCAUGCCGCGUGUGUGGAGAAGGUCUUCGGAUUGUAAAGCACUUUAAGUGGGGAGGAAGGGCAGUAAGUUAAUACGUUGCUGUUUUGACGGUACCAGCAGAAUAAGCACCGGCUAACUUCGUG